UGGCCGCGAAGGUCCGUCGGGAAAUCCACAGGCCCAACCUGUGGGCGUCCGGCGGAAACCACGCGGCUUGGGACCGGAAGACCCGAGGGGUACGUCCGGGGUAGGAGUGAAAUCCCGUAAUCCUGGACGGACCACCGAUGGCGAAAGCACCUCGGGAGGACGGAUCCGACAGUGAGGGACGAAAGCUGGGGUCUCGAACCGGAUUAGAUACCCGGGUAGUCCCAGCCGUAAACGAUGCUCGCCAGGUGUGUCGCCGACUACGAGUCGGCGAUGCGCCGCAGGGAAGCCGCUAAGCGAGCCGCCUGGGAA
rnacentral:rRNA from 1 species